GUACUAGACCCCAGAUGAGGAUCUCGGGAAGAUCCACAAAGCUGCGUCCAGGGGAGCGAACCUGUGGAAGCUGCAGCGGAGCCUCCUGCUCAAGAGUAAAGGACCGGUCUGAAACCUCCAAGAACAGGUUCUCACAGUAGACGAGGAGCCUGUUUUUCAG
rnacentral:lncRNA from 1 species